rnacentral:misc_RNA from 1 species
GAAACGCGAUAGGUAAUGUGAAUUGCAGAAUUCCGUGAAUCAUCGAAUCUUUGAACGCACCUUGCGCUCUAUGGUAUUCCGUAGAGCAUGCCUGUUUGAGUGCCGUGAAUUCUCCCAUCCCAAGCGGUUUUUAUCAAAGAAUUGCUAGGCGAAGGGGUUGAGAUGGGCGUUGUUAUAACUGCUUUUCUUCUCUAGAAAAGCUCGCCCGAAAAACAGCUAACGCCUCUGGGCCACUUUGCAUCCGCUUCUCUGAGGGGAGAAGCGGCCAAGCGCGCUCUGAUCAUCAGGCAUAGCAUGAUACGUCAUUUGCUAUGCUGUAGGAGAGCAUUUGGUUGUGGUUAUACCGCGUGCGUUAUUUUUUUUUUGCAAACGCAAAGAAAAAAAAGCCCCCUUUCAUUUCUGGUCUCAAAUCAGGUAGGAUCACCCGCUGAACUUAAGC